rnacentral:rRNA from 1 species
AUUGAACGCUGGCGGCAUGCCUUACACAUGCAAGUCGAACGGUAACGCGGGGCAACCUGGCGACGAGUGGCGAACGGGUGAGUAAUGCAUCGGAACGUGCCCAGUCGUGGGGGAUAACGCAGCGAAAGCUGCGCUAAUACCGCAUACGAUCUAUGGGUGAAAGCGGGGGACCGUAAGGCCUCGCGCGAUUGGAGCGGCCGAUGUCAGAUUAGGUAGUUGGUGGGGUAAAGGCUCACCAAGCCGACGAUCUGUAGCUGGUCUGAGAGGACGACCAGCCACACUGGGACUGAGACACGGCCCAGACUCCUACGGGAGGCAGCAGUGGGGAAUUUUGGACAAUGGGGGCAACCCUGAUCCAGCAAUGCCGCGUGCAGGAAGAAGGCCUUCGGGUUGUAAACUGCUUUUGUACGGAACGAAACGGCUCUGGUUAAUACCCGGGGCUAAUGACGGUACCGUAAGAAUAAGCACCGGCUAACUUCGUGCCAGCAGCCGCCGUAAUAC